rnacentral:SRP_RNA from 1 species
AGCUGGGUCUUGCGCAAUGGAGGGCUGCAAACCCCGCCAGGUCCGGAAGGAAGCAACGGUAGCGGUUCCAUCCCAUGUGCCGCAAGGGUGCCUAGCUAUC